CGGGAUGCAGCAGUAGGGAAUAUUGGGCAAUGGAGGCAACUCUGACCCAGCCAUGCCGCGUGCAGGAAGAAGGCCCUCUGGGUUGUAAACUGCUUUUGGACGGGGACAAAAGACCAAUGCGUUGGAGAUUGAGUGUACCGUCAGAAUAAGCACCGGCUAACUCCGUGCCAGCAGCCGCGGUAAUACGGAGGGUGCAAGCGUUGUCCGGAUUUAUUGGGUUUAAAGGGUGCGUAGGCGGCCAUAUAAGUCAGUGGUGAAACCCUUGGGCUUAACCUAAGGAGUGCCAUUGAUACUGUAUGGCUUGGGUUAUCUCUGGGCGGGCGGAAUGGAUGGUGUAGCGGUGAAAUGCAUAGAUAUCAACCAGAACGCCGACAGCGAAGGCAGCUCGCUGGGGAUAUACCGACGCUGAGGCACGAUAGCGUGGGGAUCAAACAGGAUUAGAUACCCGCGU
rnacentral:rRNA from 1 species